rnacentral:rRNA from 1 species
GCUCGUGGAUCGAUGAAGACCGCAGCUAAAUGCGCGUCAGAAUGUGAACUGCAGGACACAUGAACACCGACAAGUUGAACGCAUAUUGCACAUCGUACAACAGUACGAUGUACACAUUUUUGAGUGCCUAUAUUUACCCAUUCAACUAUACGUUGCGUGCGGCGCAACGUGCGCGGUUUCACUUCGGGUGGACAGGCGCACGGGGCCGCGCGGGCCAAACGGCGUAUGCGGAGUGAUGUUUUCCCGCCUUCGGUGGCGGUAAAACAUUGAAGAUAGUCAGACGCGCCCCCCCCCCGGGCGCGGUUGAUGAAUACAUCCCAUGGGCCCCACCCCGGUGGGCUAUGUUGUAUUCCAUCGACACCUCACUCACUCACUCAGUAGGCCUCAAAUAAUGUGUGACUACCCCCUAAAUUUAAGCA